UGGGGAAUAUUGGACAAUGGGCGCAAGCCUGAUCCAGCCAUGCCGCGUGAGUGAUGAAGGCCCUAGGGUUGUAAAGCUCUUUCGCCAGGGACGAUAAUGACGGUACCUGGAUAAGAAGCCCCGGCUAACUUCGUGCCAGCAGCCGCGGUAAUACGAAGGGGGCUAGCGUUGUUCGGAAUCACUGGGCGUAAAGCGCACGUAGGCGGAUCUUUAAGUCAGGGGUGAAAUCCCGAGGCUCAACCUCGGAACUGCCUUUGAUACUGGAGGUCCUCGAGUCCGGGAGAGGUGAGUGGAACUGCGAGUGUAGAGGUGAAAUUCGUAGAUAUUCGCAAGAACACCAGUGGCGAAGGCGGCUCACUGGCCCGGUACUGACGCUGAGGUGCGAAACGCGUGGGGAGCAAACAGGAUUAGAUACCCUGGUAGUCCACGCCGUAAACUAUGGAUGCUAGCCGUUGGGCAGCUUGCUGUUCAGUGGCGCAGCUAACGCUUUAAGCACCGCCUGGGGAGUACGGUCGCAAGAUUAAAACUUAAAGGAAUUGACGGGGUCAUAGCUGUUUCCU
rnacentral:rRNA from 1 species